rnacentral:rRNA from 1 species
AACGAACGCUGGCGGCAUGCCUAACACAUGCAAGUCGAACGAGACCUUCGGGUCUAGUGGCGCACGGGUGCGUAACGCGUGGUAACCUGCCCUUAGGUUCGUAAUAACUCCCCGAAAGGGGUGCUAAUACCGGAUAAUGUCUUCGGACCACAGAUUUAUCGCCUUUGGAUGGGCCCGCGUUGGAUUAGCUAGUUGGUAGGGUAAAAGCCUACCAAGGCGACGAUCCAUAGCUGGUCUGAGAGGAUGAUCAGCGACACUGGGACUGAGACACGGCCCAGACUCGUACGGGAGGGAGCAGUGGGGAAUAUUGGACAAUGGGGGAAAGCCUGAACCAGCAACGCCGCGUGAGAGAUGAAGGCCGUAGGGUUGUAAAGAUGUUUUACCCGGGAUGAUAAUGACAGUACCGGGAGAAUAAGCUCCGGCUAACUCCGUG